rnacentral:rRNA from 1 species
UGGGGAAUAUUGGACAAUGGGCGAAAGCCUGAUCCAGCCAUGCCGCGUGUGUGAAGAAGGUCUUCGGAUUGUAAAGCACUUUAAGUUGGGAGGAAGGGCAGUAAGCGAAUACCUUGCUGUUUUGACGUUACCGACAGAAUAAGCACCGGCUAACUCUGUGCCAGCAGCCGCGGUAAUACAGAGGGUGAAAGCGUUAAUCGGAAUUACUGGGCGUAAAGCGCGCGUAGGUGGUUCGUUAAGUUGAAUGUGAAAGCCCCGGGCUCAACCUGGGAACUGCAUCCAAAACUGGCGAGCUAGAGUAGGGCAGAGGGGGGUGGAAUUUCCUGUGUAGCGGUGAAAUGCGUAGAUAUAGGAAGGAACACCAGUGGCGAAGGCGACCACCUGGGCUCAUACUGACACUGAGGUGCGAACGCGUGGGGAGCAAACAGG